rnacentral:rRNA from 1 species
UUGAAGAGUUUGAUCAUGGCUCAGAUUGAACGCUGGCGGCAGGCCUAACACAUGCAAGUCGAACGGUAACAGGAAGCAGCUUGCUGCUUUGCUGACGAGUGGCGGACGGGUGAGUAAUGUCUGGGAAACUGCCUGAUGGAGGGGGAUAACUACUGGAAACGGUAGCUAAUACCGCAUAACGUCGCAAGACCAAAGAGGGGGACCUUCGGGCCUCUUGCCAUCGGAUGUGCCCAGAUGGGAUUAGCUUGUUGGUGGGGUAACGGCUCACCAAGGCGACGAUCCCUAGCUGGUCUGAGAGGAUGACCAGCCACACUGGAACUGAGACACGGUCCAGACUCCUACGGGAGGCAGCAGUGGGGAAUAUUGCACAAUGGGCGCAAGCCUGAUGCAGCCAUGCCGCGUGUAUGAAGAAGGCCUUCGGGUUGUAAAGUACUUUCAGCGGGGAGGAAGGGAGUAAAGUUAAUACCUUUGCUCAUUGACGUUACCCGCAGAAGAAGCACCGGCUAACUCCGUGCCAGCAGCCGCGGUAAUACGGAGGGUGCAAGCGUUAAUCGGAAUUACUGGGCGUAAAGCGCACGCAGGCGGUUUGUUAAGUCAGAUGUGAAAUCCCCGGGCUCAACCUGGGAACUGCAUCUGAUACUGGCAAGCUUGAGUCUCGUAGAGGGGGGUAGAAUUCCAGGUGUAGCGGUGAAAUGCGUAGAGAUCUGGAGGAAUACCGGUGGCGAAGGCGGCCCCCUGGACGAAGACUGACGCUCAGGUGCGAAAGCGUGGGGAGCAAACAGGAUUAGAUACCCUGGUAGUCCACGCCGUAAACGAUGUCGACUUGGAGGUUGUGCCCUUGAGGCGUGGCUUCCGGAGCUAACGCGUUAAGUCGACCGCCUGGGGAGUACGGCCGCAAGGUUAAAACUCAAAUGAAUUGACGGGGGCCCGCACAAGCGGUGGAGCAUGUGGUUUAAUUCGAUGCAACGCGAAGAACCUUACCUGGUCUUGACAUCCACGGAAGUUUUCAGAGAUGAGAAUGUGCCUUCGGGAACCGUGAGACAGGUGCUGCAUGGCUGUCGUCAGCUCGUGUUGUGAAAUGUUGGGUUAAGUCCCGCAACGAGCGCAACCCUUAUCCUUUGUUGCCAGCGGUCCGGCCGGGAACUCAAAGGAGACUGCCAGUGAUAAACUGGAGGAAGGUGGGGAUGACGUCAAGUCAUCAUGGCCCUUACGACCAGGGCUACACACGUGCUACAAUGGCGCAUACAAAGAGAAGCGACCUCGCGAGAGCAAGCGGACCUCAUAAAGUGCGUCGUAGUCCGGAUUGGAGUCUGCAACUCGACUCCAUGAAGUCGGAAUCGCUAGUAAUCGUGGAUCAGAAUGCCACGGUGAAUACGUUCCCGGGCCUUGUACACACCGCCCGUCACACCAUGGGAGUGGGUUGCAAAAGAAGUAGGUAGCUUAACCUUCGGGAGGGCGCUUACCACUUUGUGAUUCAUGACUGGGGUGAAGUCGUAACAAGGUAACCGUAGGGGAACCUGCGGUUGGAUCACCUCCUU